ensembl:snRNA U6 U6 spliceosomal RNA
GUGCUUGCUUCAGCAGCACAUAUACUAAAACUGGGGCAAUACAGAACAGGAUUAGCAUGGCCCCUGUGCAAGGAUGACACGCGAAUUCAUGAAGCAUUCCAUAUUUUU